rnacentral:rRNA from 1 species
AUUUGCUUAUUGCACCACAUGUGUUUUUUAUUGAACAAAUUUCUUUGGUGGCGGGAGCAAUCCUACCGCCAGAGGUUAUAACUAAACCAAACUUUUUAUUUACAGUCAAACUUGAUUUAUUAUUACAAUAGUCAAAACUUUCAACAACGGAUCUCUUGGUUCUCGCAUCGAUGAAGAACGCAGCGAAAUGCGAUACGUAAUAUGAAUUGCAGAUAUUCGUGAAUCAUCGAAUCUUUGAACGCACAUUGCGCCCUUUGGUAUUCCAAAGGGCAUGCCUGUUUGAGCGUCAUUUCUCCCUCAAACCCCCGGGUUUGGUGUUGAGCAAUACGCUAGGUUUGUUUGAAAGAAUUUACGUGGAAACUUAUUUUAAGCGACUUAGGUUUAUCCAAAACGCUUAUUUUGCUAGUGGCCACCACAAUUUAUUUCAUAACUUUGACCUCAAAUCAGGUAGGACUACCCGCUGAACUUAAGCAUAUCAAUAGCCGGGAGGAA